AUCACAGUAUUCAUCUGAAAUAAUUGAUGCAAUUGGCGUAUGAAUCAGAAUAAAAUGAAAAUAAGAGAUGAUAGUAUUACCUCGUUCUUAACAUGCUCAUAUGAUUAUUUUAAAAAUAAAAAACCUAAAAAUAAAUCAAAGUUUUGUAUCACAGUAUUCAUCUGAAAUAAUUGAUGCAAUUGGCGUAUGAAUCAGAAUAAAAUGAAAAUAAGAGAUGAUAGUAUUACCUCGUUCUUAACAUGCUCAUAUGAUUAUUUUAAAAAUAAAAAACCUAAAAAUAAAUCAAAGUUUUGUAUCACAGUAUUCAUCUGAAAUAAUUGAUGCAAUUUUCGUAUGAAUCAGAAUAAAAUGAAAAUAAGAGAUGAUAGUAUUACCUCGUUCUUAACAUGCUCAUAUGAUUAUUUUAAAAAUAAAAAACCUAAAAAUAAAUCAAAGUUUUGUAUCACAGUAUUCAUCUGAAAUAAUUGAUGCAAUUGGCGUAUGGAUCAGAAUAAAAUGAAAAUAUGAGAUGAUAGUAUUACCUCGUUCUUAACAUGCUCAUAUGAUUAUUUUAAAAAUAAAAAACCUAAAAAUAAAUCAAAGUUUUGUAUCACAGUAUUCAUCUGAAAUAAUUGAUGCAAUUGGCGUAUGAAUCAGAAUAAAAUGAAAAUAAGAGAUGAUAGUAUUACCUCGUUCUUAACAUGCUCAUAUGAUUAUUUUAAAAAUAAAAAACCUAAAAAUAAAUCAAAG